AUGCUCACCUCAACAGCUCAUGCACUAAAAACUGGAACCAUACUGAGGAGACUAACAAGGCACCUGUGCAAAGAAAAUAUGCAAAUUCAGGAAGCAUUCCCUAUUUUU
ensembl:snRNA U6 U6 spliceosomal RNA